rnacentral:rRNA from 1 species
UUGAUCUCAAAUCAGGUAGGACUACCCGCUGAACUUAAGCAUAUCAAUAAGCGGAGGAAAAGAAACUAACAAGGAUUCCCCUAGUAACUGCGAGUGAAGCGGGAAGAGCUCAAAUUUAAAAUCUGGCGUGCCUCUGGUCGUCCGAGUUGUAGUCUGGAGAAGCGUUUUCCGUGUUGGACCGUGUACAAGUCUCUUGGAACAGGGCGUCAUAGAGGGUGAGAAUCCCGUCUUUGACACGGACUACCAAUGCUUUGUGAUGCGCUCUCAAAGAGUCGAGUUGUUUGGGAAUGCAGCUCAAAAUGGGUGGUAAAUUCCAUCUAAAGCUAAAUAUAGGCGAGAGACCGAUAGCGAACAAGUACCGUGAGGGAAAGAUGAAA